AAUAGAUACCCCGGUAGUCCACGCCGUAAACGAUGUCGACUUGGAGGUUGUUCCCUUGAGGAGUGGCUUCCGGAGCUAACGCGUUAAGUCGACCGCCUGGGGAGUACGGCCGCAAGGUUAAAACUCAAAUGAAUUGACGGGGGCCCGCACAAGCGGUGGAGCACGUGGUUUAAUUCGAUGCAACGCGAAGAACCUUACCUACUCUUGACAUCCACGGAACUUUUCAGAGAUGAAUUGGUGCCUUCGGGAACCGUGAGACAGGUGCUGCAUGGCUGUCGUCAGCUCGUGUUGUGAAAUGUUGGGUUAAGUCCCGCAACGAGCGCAACCCUUAUCCUUUGUUGCCAGCGGUUAGGCCGGGAACUCAAAGGAGACUGCCAGUGAUAAACUGGAGGAAGGUGGGGAUGACGUCAAGUCAUCAUGGCCCUUACGAGUAGGGCUACACACGUGCUACAAUGGCGCAUACAAAGAGAAGCGACCUCGCGAGAGCAAGCGGACCUCAUAAAGUGCGUCGUAGUCCGGAUUGGAGUCUGCAACUCGACUCC
rnacentral:rRNA from 1 species